rnacentral:rRNA from 1 species
GUCUAUGGCCAUGCUACCCUGAAUAAACCCAAUCCCGUCUGAUCUCGGAAGCUAAGCAGGGUCAGGCCUGGUUAGUAUUAGUACUUGGAUGGGAGACCACCUAGGAAGACCAGGCGCUGUAGGUG